GCGACUCAUCGUGUUUGUUUCUUCCAGGUUGCAAGUUACAAAGGUCAAGGAAGAAUAGCUGAAUUUGGUUUCAAAAACCCAAGGUGGGUUGAGGGGGAACUUCUGCAACUCAAUGGAAAGGGAAUGGGGCCGCACAUGAAAGGUGCAGACCUUGGCUUUCUUUAUGUCAUUCCAGAGCACAGCUUUCUUGUACUCUUCAAUCGUUUGAAACUACCAGAGUAAAGAGCAAGUUGGGUUAGCAGAUUCCUUCUUGCAGCAGGUUUUUCCCUUUUGCCGGAUAACUUAUGUAUCAUUUUCAUCAGAGAGGCAUCACCCUGCAAUGUGACUGAGAAAGUCAACCCUUUCCCCUCCCUUUUCGGCAUAGUGAGUGCUUUGCUGUCCAAUAAUGGUACAUCCUUUCAGUUUUCCUCUUAAACCCUAAAACUCAUAUCUUGUAAGCAUACUUUUGCCAAGAGAUGAUCUGGAAAUAAUAUUAUAGUAGAGUUGAAAUUCAUAUUAAUGAGUUCCUCUUCUUGUACGGUCAUAGAAAGUUGUCCAUAUUAGCUAAUGAAGAAGAUGGCAUGGCAAUGUUUUUGGAAGGCAGAAUGUCACAUCUUUUGGUGGCUUACUUUGCAAUAAAGGCAGCUUCGAUC